CCUACGGGGGGCAGCAGUGAGGAAUAUUGGUCAAUGGGCGCGAGCCUGAACCAGCCAAGUCGCGUGAAGGAUGACUGCCCUACGGGUUGUAAACUUCUUUUAUAAAAGACUAAAGUGAGGCACGUGUGCCUAUUUGUAUGUACUUUAUGAAUAAGGAUCGGCUAACUCCGUGCCAGCAGCCGCGGUAAUACGGAGGAUCCGAGCGUUAUCCGGAUUUAUUGGGUUUAAAGGGAGAGUAGUUGGGUUGUUAAGUCAGUUGUGAAAGGUUGCGGCUGAACCGUAAAAUUGCCACUGAUACUGGCAGUCUGGAGUACAGUUGAGGUAGGCGGAAUUCGUGGUGUAGCGGUGAAAUGCUUAGAUAUCACACAGAACACCGAUUGCGAAGGCAGCUUACUAAACUGCCACUGACAUUGAGGCUCGAAAGUGUGGGUAUCAAACAGGAUUAGAUACCCUGGUAGUC
rnacentral:rRNA from 1 species